rnacentral:piRNA from 1 species
UAUAGUCUGGAGUUUGAGGGUUUA